GGUCUGAGUGGCUUCUGAAAUUGAGGAGUUGGUUAGAGCGUUGUGCUAAUAACGCGAAGGUCUUGGGUUUGAUCCUCACGUUGGCCA